CAGCAAUUACACUCACCUUUGUUUGUUUCUUUCUUUUUUAUUGUACUUUAGGUUCUGGGGUACAUCUGCAGAUCAUGCAGGAUUCUUGCAUAGCCCUCUGUCAUAGCACCAGUUGAAAUUGCAUGGAGAUGAGUACAGAGAAUCAACAUUAAGUUAGGAAAGAAACCAACUUAGGAGACUGACAAGGAGCAAGAACCAAGAGCCCUGCGACUUACUAGAGAGAGCUGAGACGUACAUUUACCUUGAAACUUUUAAAAACUGAAACAUGCAAAACCUGAACCUUCUGAGAGUAUGAGAAAUGUUUCCACAAACAUACAAUUUACAGGUUUGGAUCUUUUUGUGGAUCGUAAGUGUGAUGAUUGGGUGUUCAUGUGCAGCUGUCAGAUAUGCCACCCUUGAACCUUGUUACAACGUUGGCACACUAGCUGUUUAAGGUGAAAAAGAAAUGUAGAGGAUUUCUAUUCAAGAAUCCCUCAAAGGUAAA